rnacentral:rRNA from 1 species
CGAGGGGGGCAAAUGUUGUUCGGAAUCACUGGGCGUAAAGGGAGCGUAGGCGGGUUCUUAAGUAAGGUGUUUAAUCCCGGGGCCCAACCCCGGACCGGCACUUUAAACUGGGAAUCUUGAAUAGUGGAGAGGUCAGUGGAAUUGGGGGUGUAGCGGUGGAAUGCGUAGAGAUCCCCAAGAACACCAGUUGCGAAGGCGGCUGACUGGACACAUAUUGACGCUGAGGCUCGAAAGCAUGGGGAGCAAACAGGAUUAGAUACCCUGGUAGUCCAUGCCAUAAACGAUGAAUACUAGGUUUUGGGCCCGUCAACGGUCCAGAGCCGCAGCUAACGCGUUAAGUAUUCCGCCUGGGGAGUACGGUCGCAAGACUG